UGCUUAUAUGUGCAUAUGGUUAAGAUAAAUUUCGAUCGAAUUCGACACCGUAUUUGAUAGAAUAUGAAUAUAAAUGUCACAAUUUAGUAAUUGAUAGAUAUUCAUAUUCGGGCCAAACUGUCCGCCCAAAAUUAUCAAUCCCAAUUAUUAUUAUUAGGGUAAAUGCUUAAGCCUUUACCCUUGUAAUAUUUCUUUGGCUAAAUUACAUAAAACCUCUUUGUCAAAAUUCGAUUUUUCACUUUUUUCUCCUGUCAUUUAAAAACCUACACUUUGUCCUCUUAUAAAAUAAAAAAUAGUCACGGGGGACGAUGUAAACUAUGAUAAUAAAAUGACCAUUUUGUCCCUCAUUAUUUUUGGCAACAGAAGAAAAGGCUGAAAGUAUUUUUGGCAUAAAAAAAAUAUAUAUAAUAAUGUUUUAUAAACGGAACUCUAACGGAGCACUAACGGCAGAGGGUGAAAUAAAUAUUUUUUAUUUUAAAGUGUAGAUUUUUAAAUGAGAUGAGAAAAUUAAAAAAUGGAGUUUUGACCGAAAAUUUUCUAUAAUUUAGCCUAUUUCUUUUGGAUAUAUGG
rnacentral:lncRNA from 1 species